ensembl:lncRNA
CUGAGCGCCUUGACCACUGGAGUCACCAGGCCACUGUCCUCGGCAACUUCCCCUCUUCGCCCGGCCGGCAAAGGUUGGAAACCCCGCUCUAACGCAGCCUUCUCGAUCCCAGAAUCAGCAGCAGCAGCAGCUCUGCGCAGUCCCCGGGUCAGAGCGGCGGCCCCCGGCGGCUCCUCCUUCCCAGCUACCCGAGAAACCCGGGUCAGGGAAUUAACUAAAAAACGGAAACUACGGAAAGUGCCCGAAGACAGCCGGGGAGUGUGGGGUGGGGAUGGCGCGGGAGCGAUGCGGGACUCCACCGCCCUCCACUCUCCCUUCUUCCGACUCUUCCCCGUCUCUUACCCCCGCCAAGCCCCCACCUCCAUCUCCCCUACCGAUCUCUGUCCAGGCCACAGAGGGGAAGAGGAAGCCCAGCAUCCCUUGGGGCCCAGGUCCUAUGAAAAGGAAAAUUUAGCAUCGGUCUGGAGGGGCGGACCCGGCUCCACUGCUAGCUCCUUCUUUCCGAGCCUCUGACCUCCAAUCCAGGGCGGCAGCGGUGGCAUGCACCCGCACACCUACGCCGAUGCAAACAGACACACACAAAAUUGUGGACCCAAAUAGGGAGCAGAACACGCACUUAUCCAGCUCUCCGGAGGCAGCUGCGGGGAGGAGAUGUUCUGCAGCGCCUACUCCACACCAGGCACUGUCCCAUUAGCUCAUUUGUUGCUCACGAAGACCCUCGUCAGGCCCACUACUGACCCCACAGCAGCUCCACAGAAUCCAGAAACUCAGAGGCAUCUAGUCCAAACAGGCCAAGUCUCCAUCCCUGCCUCCUACCCUCUCUCUAACACUGUUAAUACCGGAGGUGACCUGAAGACGGGCUGCAGCAGGAUGCGGAGGACUGGCGUUGGAACACACCCACCCCCCUCUCUAGAUCUGAAGCACCUGUGCCCUCCUUGUGCCAGUGCCCCAUCUCCUAGUGCCCUGCACUUAGUACCUACUCCCUUCUUUGGUACACUGUGGCUCUCCCGAGGAUUAUUUAAAAGCCUGAAAUCUCCAAUGUAUCUCCAAUGUGUGAAGAUUCCCUUUCUGAAGGGAAGGCUCACUUGAAUUAAAUGUCACAAUAACUGUGGCCAAGGCUGUUCUCAGGAUAAUGACUAGAACUUGCACUGAACAGGCAGCCUUUGUUCAGGUAAUAGUCACAGGUUAACAAGGGAAGGUUAUCUUUAGGCUAAUUACUAGAAGCUGCCCACUAGAGACCCCCUCCUUCAGAUAACAGCCACCUGUCUCUAAGGCUGCUCAGAGGGUUGCAUAUAUGUCAAGGCCCAGCUCCCCAGAAGACCAGUGAGAGGGUCGUCUCAUGACAGGUCAGAGCCUAUCCACGAUAUCAUCCUGGCCAGUCAGUGCUUACAAGAGUGCUCACUCAGAAACGAGAUGGAAGGAUGGAUGGAUGGAUGAUAGAUGUUAGAGAUAAAUAUGAUUGAGGUAGAUGAUAGAGACAGAGACAGAUGGAUAGAGAGAGAUAGACAGAUGGAUGGAUAGAUAGAUAGAUAGAUAGAUAGAUAGAUAGAUAGAUAGAUAGAUAGAUAGAUAGAUGGAUAAAUGGAUAAAUGGAUGGAUAGACAGAUAGACACGACAUAGGUAGGUAAAUAGAUAGAUAAAUGGAUGGAUGGAUAGAUGAUAGAUGUUAGAGAUAAAUAUGAUUGAGGUAGAUGAUAGAGACAGAGACAGAUGGAUAGAUAGAGAGAUGGAUAGAUGGAUGGAUGGAUUCAUGGAUAGAGAGACACAUGGCAGAUAGAUAGAUAGAUAGAUAGAUAGAUAGAUAGAUAGAUAGAUAGAUGGGUGGAUGGAUGGAUGGACAGAUGGAUGGAUGGACAGAUAGAUAGAUAUUCAUGGAUAGACAGAUACAUGACAUAGAAAUAGAUAGAUAAGUGGAUGGGUGGAUAGAUGAUAGAUGUUAGAGAUAAAUACGAUUGAGAUAGAUGAUAGAGACAGAGAUAGAUUGAUAGAUAAUUGAUGCUGGAGACUGAUAGAUGAUAGCGAUAAAUAGCUAGUUGAUAGAUAAGCCACAUUUCUGCAUUAGAAUUGUAUGUCAAAUAUCUAUAUAUAAGAUAUAG